AAAUCCGAACUGUUGUGCUCAAGAAGCUUCUAGGCCACCCAUCCCAACUUUAGUCGGUUAUAGUUCUUGCCUUUUCUGAUCUCUCAUCUUCUCCAUCGUCUCCAUCCGAUUUGAAACCAAUUCUCUAAAAGCAGCUCAGUUCAGCGAUCUUAUCCAUCUCCGGUCAUUUUCCAGUGAAACCGCGACAUAUUCGAGCACUCCUCUUCUCAGGUAAAUAUGUUCCCCUCUCUUUAAUCCUUCUGUAGCUACUGCAUGUGCCACCAUGUUUGCCAUUCUCGGGGUGUGUUUAAACCAGCAUAUCUGAAAACCCUUUUCAACUGUUAUAUACCCUUUAUGGAUUCACAUAUUUCUGAUUUGUCCACCCCAUUACUUUGACUCUUAUUGAUUACUGAAAAUGAAUCACCUUCAACCUCCACCGUUGAUAGAUAUAUUUCCAAACCCAUUUGAACCACCUGAGCCCAUGCGAGAGCUUCCGCCGCAAACGCGGAUGGUACGUUCCUGUUUAGCACCGUUUUAGAUCCUAGAACCCCUCCAUUUGAAUCCCUUAUCAUAAUCCUUGAACAAGAUGUGUUUUCUUGUUUGUUAAAGGCAACAUCGAAAUUAAUUUUGAGAUUUGACACCUCUAGUAAUCUCCAUCGCUCAAUCUCCUGUCCUCUGCUAGGUAACUUUUCCCUAUCCUAUCCAGUUCUCGUAUAUAGCUCGUAAUGAAAUAUGCUAUUAUUCAUCAUUGUGUUCGUUUUCCUUCAUGCAGCAACUUAUUUCUUUCUGUCCAAAUUACCAACAACGUACAGCAAAAGAGGCGACAUUGAUUAGAUGAAUUGUUUUAAAAAAUCUAGGUUAGCUACUCUAUGCACUUUGAAUUUGUUACCAAUGGUGGCCAAGCAAAAUCCAAUUUCUGCCGAAUUUCCUUUGUUACAGCGCAAUCACGAAAUACAUACUUUGUAUUCUCCACUUCACCUGGCACAUUAUGGUUCCAAGUAAUCUCUUAUAAUGUAGGCUAUUCAGAGUAGGCAGAAAAUUCAUGGAAAUUCUCCAGAUUGUAAUUUUUAGUUUAGGGACGAGAUCUAAAUUCCAAUUUUUUUUAUCACACCCGAUUUUCUUUAAGCCCAAAAAUUAGGAAUAAUUGGGGGUUAAAUUGAAAGAAGCUGUAAUUUGGCAGCCUUUACUAAAACAAUAGUGACUGAUUUAGACAUGGUUGAGGUCCAAUUCUAGUUCGGUUGGAUUAAAGCCAACUAAUUCCUUAGUGGGAGACGAAAUAAUUAUUAAUGGAGGGUUUUUAUACGAUUGAAGACCAUGCGUGAAUGGCUAAAAAUAGCUAAAAAAUGAUUUCCUAGGGUUAACUCUUCUCAAAUUUGCUUAUUUUUUUUUCUUCUUCAUCUUCUUCUUGGGUUUUUCCCAAAGAAGAGGUAGUUAUAGGAAGUUCUGCAUGGAGCGGUGAUCAUAAGGUUUGGGUUGAAAGUUAGAGAAUCUAGUAAGCUAGUAAGGUUCAUAGUCCUUUGGUAUACAUAGGAUUUAGAAAAUGAAGUUAAGGAUUUUCAGAAAACUUUUGAGGGGUUUUGUAUGUUUCUGAAAAACUGAGUUUUAAGUUAAAAAUACUAAGUUUAACUCAUGAGUUUGGCCAUAAUGCUUAGUUUCCAAGAGAAUGGAAGAUCUAGCAUUCAAAAAAGCUAAGCAUAGGAAGCAAAGAAACAUCAGGUGAGUUUCUAUACUCCAUUUCUGGGAUGUUGUAUAACUAGCCUUAACUGUUGUUGAGUUCUGUGACAAUGUAUUAUCACUAUUGUUUGAGAAUGCUUUGUAUGCAUAAAGUUAGGUAGGUAUAUAAGUAUGCAUAAAUAAGUUGGCAUACGUGAAAUGGUAUGAUUCCAUGUUUUAAAAGGAUAGCAUACUCCAUGAUAGUAUGUAAAUGAAAUGCAUGUAUUGCAUGUUUAAAACAGUGGGGUACAGAGGGGAGAUUAUUCACGGGUUAUAUGAAGCUACGAUUUGGCAAAUGGUGUUUCUUUAUUUCGCCAUCUGGUGUUGCCAAGUGCAAACAACGUGCGAAGCUCCAAGCCUUGCGAAGAGGACACUGCCGUGUUCGAGCAUCAAUGUUGGAAAGGAAGAAAUGGAGGCAUGGGCGGAUACUUAAGGAAAUGAAAUUUUUAUUAGAUUUUGCAAUCCGAUAUUGUUGAGAGAAAAUCGUGAUGUGUGAAGCUUGAGGCCUUGUAGAAGGGACACUUCGGUGUUCGAACAUUAAGGUUAAAAAUGAAAUGAUAUUGACUAGCUCGUUAAAGCGGUGCCAUGAAGAAAAUUAUUAGGUUUCACAGAACAUCGCAAUGACGAUUAGCAGGCUUUAUGCGGUGACAUUGCGACGACAGUAAGUUCCUUCUAGGAAACACCUCAAAGAAGUUUAAAGUGUAAGACCAUGGCUUGGCUAUGGUGACCAAUGGAGCCCGCCAAGAAAUUAAACAUGGGGUAUGUUGUGUAAGACCAUAGCUUGACUUUAGAAGCAUAGAGAGUUUGCCGAGAUUAAAUAUGGGGCAGUCCAUCAGGACAUUAAACAUAGGACCUAAUGAGUAAAACUAUAGCUUAGCUACGGCAACAUAUAGAGUUCGUCGGGACAUUAAACGCAAGGUAGUCUGCCAAGAUGAUGAUCUUGUAAAAUCACGUAAACGAGAAAAAAAUACAAGUGUUGAUAAGCGAUAGUUAGCCAACGGAACUGAGGAAUCUGCCAAGAAGGGUUAAAUGUAACAAAAAUGGGCAAAGUUUACCAAAGAUAUGUACAGGAAAGCUGGUAGGGUGUAGGUUGGUAACCCAACUAAAAUCAGUUAUGUAGAUGACGUGUCAAUAAAUAGGGGCUAAUUAGAACCCAUUGUCAAAUAUUUAGGCAAAUGACGUGUCAAUAAUGCCUAAUAUAUAGGCAAAUGAAAGAGGAUUUUAUCUGCGAACCAUAUUUAGAACCCCUAGAAGGGGCCCAAUGGAACUCUGUAUGUUAGGAGUUUGAUUAUAAGUACUAUGGAUAGUUUAUCGGUAAAUAGGGGCUAAUUCGAACCUAUUGUCAGGAAGAGGUACCAAAAAGGUUAAUCCAAGUGAAAGAUAUAUUUGUCAAGACUAUUCUUCUUUGAGGGAAAUUCUAGUGUGACAGUAUCCACUAUGGUGCUAGUUCCAUAAGAAAGCAUUGUAUAAGGAAGAAUAUGAACUCGAAUGGUCAAUAGUUUACUAGAAACGAUAUGCUGAAAUGAUCCAAUGUAGAUAGAUUUGAUGCGCUUUAAAAGUAAGGUGUCCCAAUUAGGGUUGUUUACAAGUAGGUAACCCAAACAACAUUUCAACCCAAGUGUAGGAUAGAAGUAGGAAAGGAUGAAAUACGAUUAAGUUCGUUAGUGUGGCGUGGGCCUUUUCUAGUUGGUCUUAUAAGUAGAAUGUCAGCUUACCCGCUAGUACUAUGGUGUUUUUACUAGUCAUGAUAAAACCAAAGAGGAUAUUCAUGAUAGGAAGUGUGAGGAAAAAGGGGAAUAGAAGGUGAUAUGUGCAAGGAAAAGUGAAAACCUGCAAGGAUGAUAAUUCAUCUGGAUUCCACCAAAUUAGUUGAAUGGUCAUACUAUGACUAGGAAAUGGUUGCUCAACAAUCAAUUCGCCAUCAAAGAAAGAUGAAAGUCAAAUAUGUGUCCGACACUUCAGAUAAAGUAGGAAAGUCUAAACAAAAUAGGGAGUAGUGUGUUUGGGUCUUUUCUAUUUAAAACAUCAGCAUGAUGAGACUUAGUUAUAUAUAUGUGCAAAGAAACUCGCUAAGUCAUUUGCACUUAUAGAAUAUAUGGCUUAUGUUGCAGGAUUCGAGGGAUAAGAAACUCGAAGGGGGAUUAAGCCAGACCUUGUUGGAGCAAGUAACACCGUUAGUUAGGAGUCAUGAACAUAAUGGAGGUACCUUUAGAGGUUUCGCCUCGAGGUCAAGUAUAUUGUAAAUAAAUAGUUUUCUUAGAGUUUGAAAUUGGAGAUAGUUUUUAUUUUAAUUUAAGGCUUCUGUUGUAAAAAAUAUUUAUUGCUACUUAAUAGAGUCUAUUUUUAAAACUAUUAAAUUUAAAAUUUGUUUUUAGUCUAAUUCGGUCCAUUUGUGGCACCCCGUACUCAGAUUCGAUGAUCGGGUCGAGUGAGAAUGUUACAAAUUUAAUGGUAUCAGAACAUGGUUUAGUCGGUUCCUAGAUAUAGGAAUUGAAAAAGUACCCUUUAUGUUCAUUAUGUUCAAUUUGGCUAGGUCAUCGAGUUCUUACUUUUAUUAAGUUAUUAUAUGUUGUAUGUAGAAGUAUGCGCCUAAAUUGACGAAUCGAAACAAAUGUAGAAGCAAAGGAUAAGUAAAGUGAUUGAAAAUACAAGUGAUGAAGAAAAGAAAUUUCAUUAAAGAAAAUAUGCAAAGGAAAUUAAGAAUUUUUAUUUGCUAGGUAUGUUGUCACCUCAACAGUGUCUUUACUUCCUUUUGGCUAAGUCUUUCGAAAAGAGUAGAAAUGAUCACGCUUGAUUUUUGAAAAUGAGAGUUGUUAGAUUCCUUCUGUCCCCUCUGGCAAUCCUCUCAUUGGAACUAGAGGAGUGGGAGUGUUGAAUUCAAGGACAAAACAGGCAUGUUUGCAUAUAUAAGUGGAGUUGUGAGAUUUGCAUCAGGAAGACACUUGUGUCAGGUUUGAAUGGGGAUUAAACGAGAAAGAUGAGGAGGAAGAUACACUUGGAUGCCGGACUUGGUAUACUCAGUAUACUCCAUAAGGAUUUAGAAUAACCCAUUUUGCAACCUCACCAUUUCAUCAAGAUGAAGCUUUCAAAGGCUAGUACCAUUUUCUAACCCUUUUUUAUAACCUUUAAAGGUUGAAUUUAGACCUUCAUGUGGAGAGAGAUGUAAACAUGUAACUUUGGUAGAUGAAUUUCUAUGAAUCUAAGGAGCUGUAUUACAACAUUGUUUGCUAGAAUAGGUGAUCCUCUUGAAAUCAACCUAUUUGGCUUCACUUCCAGUUUAAAAGGAGGUCAAUGAUUUUCCUCACCCUGUUAAUAAUUGAAAGGAAUCACCAAGUUGUUAAAGAAGGGUGGCAAACUCUUGACAAGGAAAAGAAAGGGAAGUGAAUGGUACUGUCGUGGUCUCCUAAUGAUGUUACAGUAGGAGUCGUUAUGAGAAGAAUCCAAGAAAGGAAUAGGGAUUUCGUGAAAAAAGACUUCCAUUUCUUGAGGCAAAUUCAUGCCAUGUCCUUGCUUAAUCAUAGGCAAAAGAGAUACAUAUUUUCCUGCGUUAAGCCAUCCUCUCCAAGAUAAGAAAAGGCUCAUCGCAUCCAAGGGAAAGGUACUGUAAGAGAUGAGAGGGUUAGUAGUAAAGAGAGAUGCACAAAAAGGGGUUCUGAGGUAGUCAUUUGCAUUGCCUAGUCGAUACUCCUCUCGAACUAGCCCGAAAGAAAAAUUAAGGUAGGGUAACUUGAUUCCUUGAAUGGUUAGGUGAUUUACCAUAUCGUGUUUGGUGAAAAUGCUCAUGUAAUUUAAAGGUCCUCACCCUUCUUAUGUUGUUUAUUUAAUUUUACUCAGCGAAUAUGAAGACAGGGAUAGAGAAAGUUCAUUAUCAAAAUUUCGGUGACAAGAAUACUAGAGAACAACACCCAAUAUUGUAAUUAGAUGAGAAAAAGAAAGAUAGGAAGAAGAAAAGUGGGAUAAUAAGUGGGUAGGCCAAGCCAAAUGUCUAUAGACUUAUGAACUUCCCUCUCAAUGUUCUGGUUUAUUUGUAACCAAAAGCGUGUAUUAAAAGUUAUGGAAAAUUUAAUGAAUGGUAAGGAACCGUUCAAGUCCAUCAAUGCAUGCAGGACACCUAUUGGCAUCAGGAGAAGGAAGAAUCUUUUAGUAUUCCCAGGGCGGGGAUAGUUGCCAACUGUUACCCAUUAGGGUGUAGCCUUCAGAAAAGUAGAGAUAGUCUUAGGUUCGUUCAAUGACAGCCCUUUUCGAAUAGAGAGGAUAAGCUUUUGUUACUUUUUGAUUAGAACUUUGAAAGUAGAGUGGUAGCUUUGGUACACGACCAAGGUAGUAGAGAAAGUAUAUCUUGGACAAGCUUAGUUACCCUAUGAUUAGAAGGAAUUAACCCAUUAACUGGUAAGGUUAGCAUACAAAAAGAUUUAGGAAUUUUGGAUUUCCCACUAGAAUUAAAAUCAAAGAGAUGUUAGCCAGGAGAUGUUCACCUUAGAGCGUCCACCAAAUUAAGAUUUGCAAAAAUAAUUUCUGGAUUGGAGUGUAUCUAGUAAUGGAAAGAUUAGAUACCUGACAAUGAGUUGAUAUCCAUAUUUCGUAAAGUGUUGAAGGAUCCACAAAAUAGGCAGAGCAAGUGUAAAGCGAAUGUAUGAAAGGGUAACCAAGUUGAAGGUUUUUAUAGAAAUGAAAAGUGAUUACUUUUGUGAACCAUAUAAGAGUAGAAAUGGGGAAAUAGUUUCUCUGAGUCCGCUUCUGAGGCUGAUCGGGAAAGGAAUUUGCAAGGAUAAAUUUCUUUUAGGGUGGGAGAGUUGUCUAACCCAAUUUUCUUUAAAUCUGGUGAUAAUUGAAAAACUUAUAUAAUUUAAUUACAUAUUUAUUUUGAGUACAAUCCUACUAAUUUAGAUUGUUUAUGGUUUUUUAUCUUGUAGGGACUAAAUUAAGGCAAAAGGAAAUUUAAGGGCAAAAAGUGUGAAUUUAAAGACAAAAUAGGUCAGCAUGCAAAAUAGGGAAGAAGUGGUGCAGUGAAUACAAAGUGUGGAAGACUUGGGGAAAAUUUUCAAAGAAAAGAUUUAUGGACAUAAAAAUUUGUUUAAAUUUGAAUUUGAAUUUUAAGAUUAUUGUUAGGAUUAUUAUUAUAUUCUUCAGAUUUAAUUUCAAUUUAUCUCUUAAACAUUGUCAUCUAAAGUUUGAAUAGGAACCAACUAAGGUCUUUCAUGUACUAUAAAUAGGGGAUGAAGUGACAUAAAUACUCACUCAUCACUUUUGUAAAAAAACUCCUUCCCCUUAAGACUCUUAGCCUUUUGUUUCUUUUCUUUUUCAAUAAAAUUUCGUUUCAUCAAACUUGUGUUUUUAUUCCCAAAAAUAAUGAGUAACUAAAUUAGUCUAGCCAAAGGUUAUCAAGAUUCUUCAAAAAGAGUGCAUUACGCUUAGAACUCGUACUUAACCCUUCUCAACGAGUAUUCAUCAUUUUUUCGCAUUACGAGACUGACGCUGUCGUCCAUGUCUUUUCAAAAGUAAUCUUUUCAUCUUGUGCAAAGGUGGUCUUUUUGCAUGUUUUGGGAAGGUUGCACAAUCGAUUUGCACAAACAUCUAAAAGAGUUUUAUAUGGUUUGUCUUAACAUGAAACCUUAGGGUGUAACUGAGGAUCAAAUCAAAUUAUGUGCUUUCCGUUUUCCCUAGUAGACUCUGCUAGGGAAUUGUUAUUUUAUCUACCUCUUGGAUCUAGCACAACCUGGGUUGAUCUUUCCCGUUUGUUUCUCAACAGAUUUUUCCCAUCAUCGUGCGUACCUGAGCUAAGGAGGGAGAUUGUUGGGAUAAGGUAAAAGGAUGUGGAGUCUCUUUACGAUUAUUGGGAAUAAUUUAAGAAUUUGUGUGCAAGUUGCCCACAACAUGAGAUAAUAGAAUAGUCUCUUC
rnacentral:lncRNA from 1 species